rnacentral:lncRNA from 1 species
UUACGUGUGGUGAAUAUCAUUAUCAGUAUAUCUUGUGAGACUUCAUGGAAACAUAAGUUGUCCAUCUCCCAGAAUCCCUUCUGAGAGCAUUUAUUUAUCACUAUAUAAUUCCUGUAGCCACAAUAGUAAGCUUUCUCGAAAUGUCAGUUUUUGAACCAAAAUACCCUCUUUAUGCACUUAGUGCAAGCUCCAAAAUGAUUACAUAACUCAAUAAUCAAUCUCACCAAAAUCCAGCUUGCAAGUAAUCUCAUGUCACAGCAAAUCAGCAAAUCUAUUGCUUGUCUGUCAAAACUCCAUAUGAGUUGCCAAAACAUGCAAAUGUACAGAUUUCAAAUCAACCUAUUAUAUAUGUUAGCUUAAAGGAACAUAGGAAUGCAGUCAAACAAAGUAGAGAAAAUAUUAUGAAUGAAAAAUGAAAAGCAUGACACUUGCAUGCAAUGUCAGUAGGUACAGGAAUACCAGAUGGGAUUUCUGGUGUAACUAGCCUAUGCAUCGCCUAUAAAAGAAAAUAUGUAUUCCAUUAUAUUUCACCCAUAUUGGAAUAUAGAAAAGGCAGUGAUGAGGGGAAAAUUGAGAAUUAAAAAAUCUUAUAGGAUAAACAAUUUAAUAUACACUAGGAAGACGGACAAUAACAAUUGUUGAUUUACCAAAAGCUGUUGGUGCAAAUACUAAGAACAAUAAACAAAAGGAGACUAUACAACUAUAAAUAAACAAACUGAUGAACAAAAUUGAUUAGGUCUGUUGGCUAAGGAUGUGCUUAUGCCUCAUCUCUUUAUUCUUUUAUUGAACGACUUGGCAUUGGUAUUCCAUAGGAAUCCCCCUGGGGUACAUUUAAUAUAGGAAUAGACUUUGUUCAUAAAUCUCUAAUAGUCAGAAUUUAAUGGAAAUCUAUGCACAAAAAAAGAGAGUUUAAAACUAGUGGAACUUAAGAAAGCACCACAGAAUAGUUUUGUGGAAACAUAUAUCGAAAGAUGAGACUUAAAUAGAAAUCCAAGGCCAUCAGAUGCUCAAAUUAUGAUAUCUUCUUUUACUUGUCUCAUUAUAGAAUGACAACAUAUGAUGAACUACUAACAAAUGCACAUGACUUAACGGAGAAACAUGCAAGACCAAAUUAUCAACAGGCUUAACAUAAGAUAACCAGUUCACAACAAAGAUGUUUGCAACAUUAAAAUGAAGUGCCUGAAGUAAAUGAAAAUAUUACUGAACCACCAAAUUAAAUCAUUGUUCAAGUAUGUAUCUUGAACCUUCAUCAACACCAUGUAGGCUUAUGAGGAUCUGAAUCAUCACUGCUUUAUCCUAGUUUGUUCCUAUUUGGAUUUUAUCUGUCCGAAACAUGACUCCAAUAUGAAUCAUAACUCACGUACCAAGUGCCACUCCAUGUAUUCUCUCACAGUUGAGAUACAUUUGAUGUCAACAAAAUGUCAUACCAACUAAUCCUCAACAAUCAGUAACUGCAAGUCAUCCAUGAUACAUGGGAUGUUGCCUAAAACUUUUAGGCAUCUGAAAGCCUCAGAUGCCUAUAUUAUUAAUCUUAGUGGCUUUUCACAAAAACACCCGUACCAUAUAAAAUUGUGUUUUAAGAAUCCAUGUUAUCAACUGAUCACCAUGAAUUCUGAACCAUGACUCAAUAUAUUCCAAACAUGAGCAUGAGCAGAAAACAGUACUCAGUUACGUUGAUAAGGCCAAUGAACUCUGAUAAAGGGUAGUAUGGUUCACUACUGAGUUUUCCACAUUAUCUUGGAGACCAAAUAGAUGAGGGUAAAUGAAGUAUCUAUGAAACAGCAUCACAAUUGACCAAUCAGAUUAGUUCUGCCAAGUAGAAGCAUAACGAGAGAGAGAGAGAGAGAGAGAGAGAGAGAGAGAGAGAGUA